rnacentral:RNase_P_RNA from 1 species
GAAGCUGGCUAGACAGUCGCCGCGUCCGUAUGGGCGGGGAGGAAAGUCCGGGCUCCAGAGAGCAGAAUGCCGGUUAAUGGCCGGACACCGUGAGGUGAUGGAAAGUGCCACAGAAAACGGAACGGAGUGGAGUUUCGGUGCAAGCUAACCUUAGGGUUACGCCCGCCGCCACUUGAUGGUUCCCUUUUUGGUGUUGAAGGCGUAACCCUAAGGUUGGGCUGGAGCCAAAAUGAUACCGCCGAUGGCCUGACUUUUUUGCCCGCAAGGGUGUUUAAGUCGGGAUCAGGUAAGGGCGAAAUGGCGAGGUAAGAGCUCACCGCGCUCCCGGUAACGGGAGUGGCAGGGUAAACCCCAUUCGGAGCAAGAUCAAAUAGGCUGACUAUGGCGUGGCUCGCGUCGUCAGCGGGUAGAUUGCUUGAGCGUAAGGUAACGAAACGCCUAGAGGAAUGACUGUCCACGACAGAACCCGGCUUAUCGGCCAGCUUC